rnacentral:rRNA from 1 species
AGAGCGAACGCUGGCGGCAGGCCUAACACAUGCAAGUCGAGCGCCCCGCAAGGGGAGCGGCAGACGGGAGAGUAACACGUGGGAACGUACCCUUCAGUUCGGAACAACCCAGGGAAACUUGGGCUAAUACCGAAUACGUCCGUAAGGAGAAAGAUUUAUCGCUGAAGGAUCGGCCCGCGUCUGAUUAGCUAGUUGGUGAGGUAACGGCUCACCAAGGCUACGAUCAGUAGCUGGUCUGAGAGGAUGAUCAGCCUCACUGGGACUGAGACACGGCCCAGACUCCUACGGGAGGCAGCAGUGGGGAAUAUUGGACAAUGGGCGCAAGCCUGAUCCAGCCAUGCCGCGUGGGUGAUGAAGGCCCUAGGGUUGUAAAGCCCUUUCGGCGGGGAAGAUAAUGACGGUACCCGCAGAAGAGCCCCGGCUAACUUCGUGCCAGCAGCCGC